rnacentral:rRNA from 1 species
CUUCAACGGUUGGAAAGAUUUUUUGGUCAGGGAUGAGCUCGCGGCCUAUCAGCUUGUUGGUGAGGUAAUGGCUCACCAAGGCAUCGACGGGUAGCCGGCCUGAGAGGGUGACCGGCCACACUGGGACUGAGACACGGCCCAGACUCCUACGGGAGGCAGCAGUGGGGAAUAUUGCACAAUGGGCGCAAGCCUGAUGCAGCAACGCCGCGUGAGGGAUGACGGCCUUCGGGUUGUAAACCUCUUUUAGCAGGGAAGAAGCGAAAGUGACGGUACCUGCAGAAAAAGCGCCGGCUAACUACGUGCCAGCAGCCGCGGUAAUACGUAGGGCGCAAGCGUUAUCCGGAAUUAUUGGGCGUAAAGAGCUCGUAGGCGGUUUGUCGCGUCUGCUGUGAAAUCCCGAGGCUCAACUUCGGGUCUGCAGUGGGUACGGGCAGACUAGAGUGCGGUAGGGGAGAUUGGAAUUCCUGGUGUAGCGGUGGAAUGCGCAGAUAUCAGGAGGAACACCGAUGGCGAAGGCAGAUCUCUGGGCCGUAACUGACGCUGAGGAGCGAAAGGGUGGGGAGCAAACAGGCUUAGAUACCCUGGUAGUCCACCCCG